rnacentral:rRNA from 1 species
GAUGAACGCUGGCGGCGUGCCUAAUACAUGCAAGUAGAACGCUGAAGGAAGGAGCUUGCUCUUUCCGGAUGAGUUGCGAACGGGUGAGUAACGCGUAGGUAACCUGCCUGGUAGCGGGGGAUAACUAUUGGAAACGAUAGCUAAUACCGCAUAACAGUAGAUGUUGCAUGAUAUCUACUUAAAAGGUGCAAUCGCACCACUACCAGAUGGACCUGCGUUGUAUUAGCUAGUUGGUGAGGUAACGGCUCACCAAGGCGACGAUACAUAGCCGACCUGAGAGGGUGAUCGGCCACACUGGGACGGAGACACGGCCCAGACUCCUACGGGAGGCAGCAGUAGGGAAUCUUCGGCAAUGGACGGAAGUCUGACCGAGCAACGCCGCGUGAGUGAAGAAGGUUUUCGGAUCGUAAAGCUCUGUUGUAAGAGAAGAACGAGUGUGAGAGUGGAAAGUUCACACUGUGACGGUAUCUUACCAGAAAGGGACGGCUAACUACGUG